rnacentral:rRNA from 1 species
AUGUGUGGACUGCAGGGACGGUCGAAUCCGACCUUCCUAGGCAUCACCUUUCUUCCUUCUCUCAUUCAUGUUCUUGCAUCUAAGCUCCACUCAUGUCUACUAUUUCAGUCUAUAUUCUCAGAAGUACCAGAGAUUCCAAAUAAAAACAUGGCCUUUAUAUAUUCAUGCAUAUUCAGACUCACUCAUCUCGCUUGUUCAAUUCAUUCAUUCAUCAGGAGGGGACUUGCUUGUGUGUUUAAAUCUGCAGUGCAACAAAAGUUGAUUCUUCGAAACCAAUUCAAGGACAUUGAUCUGAAAAGCAGACGACCGCCUUCUGCUACUACCAUCGAGCGAUGCCCGCUGCACAACGCGCCGACUAUUACUAUGCUUUUUUUUUGA